rnacentral:lncRNA from 13 species
CUUAGCCCCAAGACGCAGAGCGCGGCGGCCGCACCCCAGCCCACCUGGCCCCCUGAAAGAAGAGGAAAGGGGCGGGAGCGUCACUGGGUCCCGGCAGCUCCAUUCUAGCUGCGGAGGCCGCGGCGAAGCCUAGGCUGAGAGGAGGUUGCCGGGCCCAGAACUAAAAGAGGCCAGGGGCCUCCCCAGCCCAAGCCUCCAGGGCCUGUCCAAUCCUCCACCCAGCUCCCCCGGCCCUUUCUUCUUUCUUUUCUCCUUUCGGAAGCCGCGGUGCGCAGGGGGAGCAGAGGCACAGCCCGGGCCCGAGAGGCCCGAGUAAACACGCCACUUACUUUGUGUACAGAGGGUUCUUGUGAAAAGCCCUGAAGAGUCCUCACCAAACACUCACCAACUUCUCCCACGUGCCAUUUGUUGACUAAGUGCGGCUGCUUUUCGCUGCGCCCGAGAGGAGGGGAAGCAAGGGGGAGAUAAGAGGGGAGGGGGAGUGGAAGCCUUGGUUGGAGGGGGGCGGAUGACCAAUGCUGGGAGAGUCUCUCUCUCUCCCUCUCUCUCUCUCUCUCUCUCUCUCUCUCUCUCUCUCUCUCUGUGUGUGUGUGUGCGCGCGCGCGCGCGCGCGUGUGUGUGAGUGUCCCGCCAGUGAUGUCGGUAUGUCAGCGUGUGUCCUUUGUGCCACCGGUCAUCUGUGUGUGGUGCGUGUCUCCGCACCACAACUCCCUCUCCUGGGUCUGCUCAGUCCACGGAGGCAGCUCCCCUUCAGCUGUUGCCAGAAAACGGGGAGGAAACCGAAUAAACACAAUCUCCAAUAAACAUCUCUAAUGAGGGAGGAGGCCCGAGGAUGGCUGGGUUUGAUUUAUGACUGGAGGAGAAGGUCCACUUCCCACUGCGAAGCGGGCAACCUGCUCGCGGCCCAGCUCCUGAGAGAGGAACCCGCGGAGGAGAGGACCCAGGCCCAGGCUUACCCUCAGCCCAGGAUAGCCCUGACUGCAAUUUUCCGACAUCUAGGGCAGCUCCAGGCUCUGAUUCUCCACAGCAAACACAGUGAGCGAGCUCGCCAGUCGCCCAGUCUGCGGAGGCUCCCAGGCCAGCCCCGGCACCCGACUGCCGAGAAGCCCAGAGCUUCCCCAUUAGCCAGCAGAGGCUGGUGGAGAGCCUGGAUGGAGAGAUGGGGUUUCACUGUGUUACCCAGGCUGGUCUCAAAUUCCUGGACUCAAGCAAUCCUCCUGUCUUGUACUCCCGCCAUGCUAGGAUUACAGGUGAGAGCCACUGCACCCAACUUGUCCCUUCCCUUCCUAACAAAACCUUGUUUUAAUUCAGGCAUCCAUUAUCCUUUGAGUGGCAACCUGAUUCCAGGAAGGCAGACAUCGUUUUUUAAUCUCCAG